rnacentral:lncRNA from 1 species
CCACAUGGCUGGCAGAGCUCCUGAGUUUGAGUUUGGCUGCAGGCACCGACUUUGGGAUGACCAUAGCAUUACUAAGAGAUUCCCUCACCCUCCUCUUCUCCUCCUCCUCACACUCCCAUGGGAUGGAGGGCCAUGCCGGAAUUCUGGGCUGGAGAGCACAGGGAAGGGCCCAGCACCGGCUGUGGGGCUCCCAUUUUAUGUAUACAUAGAAGGAGCCUUGAAACCACAGCCUGCAGCUCAGGGAAGGAGCAUGGCAAAGGACAGGAGGUGACACAGGAUUCACCGUGUGACAAAACAGCACGGCUGUCCUUGCUUCAUUCUGGAGGACACAGCCUUGGAAUACAGCGAGGGGAGGACCACACAGAUGAACAGCCAAAAUUCAGCUCCUCCAAUGUGCUUCCAGAAGAGCCUGAGAAACUUGAAACAAUAAAGAAAAACAGCAGGAAAAAACACCCACAAAGUUGGAGAUCCCCAGAAUGGCAGGACAGUAAAAUGUUUCUAAGCUGACCAAACCUCUGCAGUUGUGAUGGUUUCUGCAUUAUUCUGCCAAAAGGACAAGAAUAAUCUGUUUCCCUUAACAGCCCCACCAGCCCAAGGACUCCUUCUCUGAAGGGACACUCAAGUGUGGUGUGCUGAGGGAAGGGGCUUUGCCAGCUCUUGCCCUUUCAGGAGUAAAACAGGUGUCCUAUAAACACUGAGCCAGGGAUGGGAGAUGCAAGGACCCAACAGGUUUGUAACUCCCCAAUCUCCACCAUUUGUCAAGGAUGGGCACCCAUAGGAAAUGCUGUCACAGACAUCUUUUUAUGAAAAUCCUUUCUUAGGAUUUUUUCCCUUCUGAGAAGCUGAGAGGCCUCAGAGACAAAAUGUAAACAUUGAUUAUCUGCUGCUGUGGAAUGCAACAGGUGCAUCUGUGAUUGGUCUCGUGGAUGUUUGGAAUUAGUGACCAUUCAUAGCAGAGCUGCCUCUCUCUCUGUCCGAGCCACAGACCUUUGUUUUCAUUCUUUUCCAUUCUAUUCUAUUCUAUUCUAUUCUAUUCUAUUCUAUUCUAUUCUAUUCUAUUCUAUUCUAUUCUAUUCUAUUCUAUUCUAUUCUUAGCUAGCCUCCUGAGAUGAAACUUUUCCUUCUAUUCUUU